rnacentral:ncRNA from 1 species
GUUCUAUGGUGGAUUCGCCGCCUUAGAAGAAAGUAUGUGUUUUUGAAAUCUGACUAUAUGCUGGAAUAACUCAGUAUGCAACAGUACUAAUUUUCAAAAUUAUGCUAAUAAUUUUAAAGAAAGUCACAAUCUGUUUGCUGGAGUCAAUCAGCAGGGAAGAAUCCUGAUCUACAUCAGGAGAACCCUCAGAGACUACAUGUCAGACUAAACUGAAUUUAACUUUUCAGUUUGGAAGAUAUAGUCCGAACUACGUAGCGAUACGUAG